rnacentral:rRNA from 1 species
AUUGAACGCUGGCGGCAUGCUUUACACAUGCAAGUCGAACGGUAACAGGUUAAGCUGACGAGUGGCGAACGGGUGAGUAAUGCAUCGGAACGUGCCCGAUCGUGGGGGAUAACACUUCGAAAGAAGUGCUAAUACCGCAUACGAUCUGAGGACGAAAGCGGGGGACCGUAAGGCCUCGCGCGAUCGGAGCGGCCGAUGUUAGAUUAGGUAGUUGGUGGGGUAAAGGCUCACCAAGCCGACGAUCUGUAGCUGGUCUGAGAGGACGACCAGCCAGACUGGGACUGAGACACGGCCCAGACUCCUACGGGAGGCAGCAGUGGGGAAUUUUGGACAAUGGGCGCAAGCCUGAUCCAGCAAUGCCGCGUGCAGGAAGAAGGCCUUCGGGUUGUAAACUGCUUUUGUACGGAGCGAAAAGGCUCCCUCUAAUACAGGGGGCUCAUGACGGUACCGUAAGAAUAAGCACCGGCUAACUACGUGCCAGCCGCCGCGGUAA